rnacentral:tRNA from 1 species
GGAGGGGUACCAAAGCGGUUUAAUGGGACGGUCUUGAAAACCGUUGUCCCCUCAAAAGGACCGCGAGUUCGAAUCUCGCCCCCUCCG